rnacentral:rRNA from 1 species
AGAGUUUGAUCCUGGCUCAGAUUGAACGCUGGCGGCAGGCCUAACACAUGCAAGUCGAGCGGUAGCACAGAGAGCUUGCUCUCGGGUGACGAGCGGCGGACGGGUGAGUAAUGUCUGGGAAACUGCCUGAUGGAGGGGGAUAACUACUGGAAACGGUAGCUAAUACCGCAUAACGUCGCAAGACCAAAGUGGGGGACCUUCGGGCCUCAUGCCAUCAGAUGUGCCCAGAUGGGAUUAGCUAGUAGGUGGGGUAACGGCUCACCUAGGCGACGAUCCCUAGCUGGUCUGAGAGGAUGACCAGCCACACUGGAACUGAGACACGGUCCAGACUCCUACGGGAGGCAGCAGUGGGGAAUAUUGCACAAUGGGCGCAAGCCUGAUGCAGCCAUGCCGCGUGUGUGAAGAAGGCCUUCGGGUUGUAAAGCACUUUCAGCGGGGAGGAAGGCGAUAAGGUUAAUAACCUUGUCGAUUGACGUUACCCGCAGAAGAAGCACCGGCUAACUCCGUGCCAGCAGCCGCGGUAAUACGGAGGGUGCAAGCGUUAAUCGGAAUUACUGGGCGUAAAGCGCACGCAGGCGGUCUGUCAAGUCGGAUGUGAAAUCCCCGGGCUCAACCUGGGAACUGCAUUCGAAACUGGCAGGCUAGAGUCUUGUAGAGGGGGGUAGAAUUCCAGGUGUAGCGGUGAAAUGCGUAGAGAUCUGGAGGAAUACCGGUGGCGAAGGCGGCCCCCUGGACAAAGACUGACGCUCAGGUGCGAAAGCGUGGGGAGCAAACAGGAUUAGAUACCCUGGUAGUCCACGCCGUAAACGAUGUCGAUUUGGAGGUUGUGCCCUUGAGGCGUGGCUUCCGGAGCUAACGCGUUAAAUCGACCGCCUGGGGAGUACGGCCGCAAGGUUAAAACUCAAAUGAAUUGACGGGGGCCCGCACAAGCGGUGGAGCAUGUGGUUUAAUUCGAUGCAACGCGAAGAACCUUACCUGGUCUUGACAUCCACAGAACUUUCCAGAGAUGGAUUGGUGCCUUCGGGAACUGUGAGACAGGUGCUGCAUGGCUGUCGUCAGCUCGUGUUGUGAAAUGUUGGGUUAAGUCCCGCAACGAGCGCAACCCUUAUCCUUUGUUGCCAGCGGUCCGGCCGGGAACUCAAAGGAGACUGCCAGUGAUAAACUGGAGGAAGGUGGGGAUGACGUCAAGUCAUCAUGGCCCUUACGACCAGGGCUACACACGUGCUACAAUGGCAUAUACAAAGAGAAGCGACCUCGCGAGAGCAAGCGGACCUCAUAAAGUAUGUCGUAGUCCGGAUUGGAGUCUGCAACUCGACUCCAUGAAGUCGGAAUCGCUAGUAAUCGUAGAUCAGAAUGCUACGGUGAAUACGUUCCCGGGCCUUGUACACACCGCCCGUCACACCAUGGGAGUGGGUUGCAAAAGAAGUAGGUAGCUUAACCUUCGGGAGGGCGCUUACCACUUUGUGAUUCAUGACUGGGGUGAAGUCGUAACAAGGUAACCGUAGGGGAACCUGCGGCUGGAUCACCUCCUUA